AAGUGUAUUUGUCAGGCUUUUUUUUUUUUAAUGUAUAAUUGUUUGUGCACAUGUAACACUUUUUAAGGUCAGGUAACAGAUAGCUCUCUCAAGUUAAGGAAUCAGUCUCAAAGCACCUUAGAGGCUUCCAGUGACUGAAUAGAUAAACUUUUUUUUCAACUGUAUGUUAGUCUUAUAUUUCUCUGUGUUAAAUGUAAUAUUUAUGUGAUAUUUGACGUGUCCUGAUAUUCUUAUGAAUUGAUGCAUUCAUAAAAUACUCAAAUAGAUCUUUGAAACAUGGAAUUCAAUUGUUUUGUUUCAUGUUUUUUAAGUGCCAGAGGAGCCCAAAAGAGCUCCCCCAGAGGAAAAAGUUGCUGUUCCAAAAAGAGAAGCAGCUCCACCACCUAAAGCACCAGAAAUACCUAAGAAACCAGUACCAGAAGAAAAAUUGCCUCAGAUUCCUAAAGUAGAAGAGGCUCCACCUGCAAAAGUGCCUGCAGUUCCUAAGAAACCUGUCCCUAAAGAAAAGGUACCUCCUGCUGUUCCUAAAAAAGUUGAGGCUCCUCCAGCUAAAGGUAUGCUUUCCAGUAGAAUAAAUAAAAUGCUGUUUCUUAGCUCCUAUGUGUAUGUUCUGUCUUGUCAUUGAUUUGUGCUUCCUUUAUGAAUUCCACAGUAUUGAUUUAGUGACAGUAAAACAAUGGUUAUUUUUUUGUGUAUUGUACAUUACUUACAAAAAUAUGAAUGUUAAGUGUUGAAUCUCUGUUGUGUUAUUUGUUCAAGACCCUUAAGCAAUUCUUUGGAAAUUUAGUUACUUGCAUUUUGGAAGGUGGAUUUCACACUGGCAUUAGAAAAUCAUCCAUUUAAUACUAUUAUCUUUCAAAGUACCUGAAGUGCAGAAGA
rnacentral:lncRNA from 1 species